GAUGAACGCUGGCGGCGUGCUUAACACAUGCAAGUCGAACGGGAUCCAAGGGUGCUUGCAUCCUUGGUGAGAGUGGCGAACGGGUGAGUAACACGUGAGUAACCUGUCCUUUUCUUUGGGAUAAGCUCCUGAAAGGGUGUUUAAUACCUUAUGUUCUGUCUGCCUCGCAUGGGGUGGGUGGGAAAGAUUUUUUCGGUGAAGGGUGGGCUCGCGGUCUAUCAGCUUGUUGGUGGGGUGAUGGCUUACCAAGGCUUUGACGGGUAGCCGGCCUGAGAGGGUGGUCGGUCACAUUGGGACUGAGAUACGGCCCAGACUCCUGCGGGAGCAGCAGUGGGGAUAUUGCACAAUGGGCGCAAGCCUGAUGCAGCGACGCCGCGUGGGGGAUGAAGGCCUUCGGGUUGUAACUUCUUUGGC
rnacentral:rRNA from 1 species